rnacentral:rRNA from 1 species
GAACGUGGGGAAGUGAAACAUCUCAGUACCCAUAGGAAGAGAAAACAAUUGUGAUUCCGUGAGUAGUGGCGAGCGAAAGCGGAUGAGGCUAAACCAUGCGCAUGUGAUACCGGGUAGGGGUUGUGUGUGUGGGGUUGUGGGGUUCGUCUUCUUCCAUCUGCCUGUGGAAGCGUGAGUCAGAAAAUCGUGUGUUAGGUGAAGUGGCCUGGAAUGGUCUGCCGUAGUCGGUGAGAGUCCGGUAGCUGAAAACACAUGGUCUUGCGUGACGGUGUCCCCAAGUAGCAGCGGGCUCGUGGAAUCUGCUGUGAAUCUGCCGGGACCACCCGGUAAGCCUGAAUACUUCCUGGUGACCGAUAGCGGACUAGUACCGUGAGGGAAAGGUGAAAAGUACCCCGGGAGGGGAGUGAAAUAGUACCUGAAACCGGACGCUUACAAUCCGUCAAAGCCUGUGCACCCUUGUGGUGAAACCGGACGCUUACAAUCCGUCAAAGCCUGCGCGUAGUUUACUGCGGUGGGUGAUGGCGUGCCUUUUGAAGAAUGAGCCUGCGAGUUAGUGCUCGGUGGCGAGGUUAACCCGUGUGGGGUAGCCGUAGCGAAAGCGAGUCUGAAUAGGGCGUUUGAGUCGCCGGGUCUAGACCCGAAGCGGAGUGAUCUACCCAUGGCCAGGGUGAAGCGUCGGUAAGACGUCGUGGAGGCCCGAACCCACUUCAGUUGAAAAUGGAGGGGAUGAGUUGUGGGUAGGGGUGAAAGGCCAAUCAAACUCCGUGAUAGCUGGUUCUCCCCGAAAUGCAUUUAGGUGCAGCGUCACAUGUUUCUUACUGGAGGUAGAGCUACUGGAUGGCCGAUGGGCCCCACAGGGUUACUGACGUCAGCCAAACUCCGAAUGCCGGUAAGUGAGAGUGUGGCAGUGAGACUGCGGGCGAUAAGGUUCGUAGUCGAGAGGGAAACAGCCCAGAUCGCCGGCUAAGGCCCCUAAGCGUGUACUAAGUGGAAAAGGAUGUGGGGUCGCGAAGACAACCAGGAGGUUGGCUUAGAAGCAGCCACCCUUGAAAGAGUGCGUAAUAGCUCACUGGUCAAGUGAUCCUGCGCCGACAAUGUAGCGGGGCUCAAGUACACCGCCGAAGCCGCGGCACUCACAUUUUGCCCGUCGGAGCCUUACGGGGUUCCCAAGUACACCGCCGAAGCCGCGGCACUCACAUAAGCCCGCCUUCUGCCUACGGGUGGUUGGCCAGGUGUGUGGGUGGGUAGGGGAGCGUCCUGCAUCCGUGGAAGCUACAGAGUGAUCUAGUGGUGGAGGGUGUGGGAGUGAGAAUGCAGGCAUGAGUAGCGAAAGCAGAGUGAGAAACUCUGCCGCCGAAUGACCAAGGGUUCCUGGGCCAGGCUAAUCCGCCCAGGGUGAGUCGGGACCUAAGGCGAGGCCGACAGGCGUAGUCGAUGGACAACGGGUUGAUAUUCCCGUACCCGUGUAUCCGCGCCCAUGCUGAAUCAGUUGUACUAACCAUCCUGAUCCUCACGAGAGUGCCUUCGGGUGCCGAGUUGGGGUGAUGCAUGGGACCUUGGCUGGUAGUAGGCAAGCGAUGGGGUGACGCAGGAAGGUAGUGGGGCCAGUCAGUGGUUGUACUGGUGUAAGCCUGUAGGGCGAGCGAUAGGCAAAUCCGUCGUUCAUGAAGCCUGAGAGGUGAUGCGUAGCCGUUGCGGUGAAUUCCAUGAUCCUAUGCUGCCGAGAAAAGCCUCUAGUGAGUUGGUACACGGCCCGUACCCCAAACCAACACAGGUGGUCAGGUAGAGAAUACUAAGGCGAUCGAGAGAACUGUGGUUAAGGAACUCGGCAAAAUGCCCCCGUAACUUCGGGAGAAGGGGGACCCAUCCUGGUGACGGCAUGUACUGCCUGAGCUGGUGUGGGUCGCAGAGACCAGAGAGAAGCGACUGUUUACUAAAAACACAGGUCCGUGCGAAGUCGUAAGACGAUGUAUACGGACUGACGCCUGCCCGGUGCUGGAAGGUUAAGAGGACCGGUUAGUCACUUUGGUGGCGAAGCUGAGAAUUUAAGCCCCAGUAAACGGCGGUGGUAACUAUAACCAUCCUAAGGUAGCGAAAUUCCUUGUCGGGUAAGUUCCGACCUGCACGAAUGGCGUAACGACUUCUCUGCUGUCUCAACCACAGACUCGGCGAAAUUGCAGUACGAGUAAAGAUGCUCGUUACGCGCGGCAGGACGAAAAGACCCCGGGACCUUCACUAUAGCUUGGUAUUGGUGUUCGGUUCGGUUUGUGUAGGAUAGGUGGGAGACUGUGAAGUGGGCACGCCAGUGUUCAUGGAGUCGUUGUUGAAAUACCACUCUGAUCGUAUUGGACUUCUAACCUCGGACCCUGAUCGGGUUCAGGGACAGUGCCUGGUGGGUAGUUUAACUGGGGCGGUUGCCUCCUAAAAGGUAACGGAGGCGCCCAAAGGUUCCCUCAGCCUGGUUGGCAAUCAGGUGUUGAGUGUAAGUGCACAAGGGAGCUUGACUGUGAGACGUACAUGUCGAGCAGGGACGAAAGUCGGGACUAGUGAUCCGGCACCGGCAAGUGGAAGCGGUGUCGCUCAACGGAUAAAAGGUACCCCGGGGAUAACAGGCUGAUCUUCCCCAAGAGUCCAUAUCGACGGGAUGGUUUGGCACCUCGAUGUCGGCUCGUCGCAUCCUGGGGCUGGAGUAGGUCCCAAGGGUUGGGCUGUUCGCCCAUUAAAGCGGCACGCGAGCUGGGUUUAGAACGUCGUGAGACA